GUCAGUGUGUGUGUGUGUCAGUUUGUCUGUGUGUAUGUCUGUGUGUGUGUCAGUAGGCCUGUGUGUGUGUCAGUAUGUCUGCCAGGAUAUAUUUGUGUGUCAGUGUAUGUGUGUGUCAGUAUGUAUCUGUGAAUGUUUUAAUGUCUGUCUGUGUGUAUGUGCCAGUACGUCUGUCUGUGUGUAUGUCAGUAUGUCUGUGUGUGUCAGUAUGUCUGUGUGUGUAUGUAAGUAUGUCUGUGUGUGUGUAUGUGUGUGUCAGUAGGCCUGUGUGUG